rnacentral:tRNA from 1 species
GGUGCUGUGGCGCAGCAGGUUAACGCCCUGGCCUGAAGUGCCAGUAUCCCAUAUGGGCACCGGUUCUAGUCCUGGCUGCUCCU